GCCCAGGUGUUGGAACUGGUAGACAAGCUGGAUUUAGGUUCCAGUCCGCCAUGCGGGUAAGGGUUCGAUUCCCUUCCUGGGCACCA
rnacentral:tRNA from 1 species